rnacentral:rRNA from 1 species
GAUAAAGAAAGUAAGCAAGGGCAGACGGUGGAUGCCUUGGCUCUCGGAGGCGAUGAAGGACGUGAUAAGCUGCGAUAAGCUUGGGGUAGGUGCAAAUAACCUUUGAUCCCAAGAUUUCCGAAUGGGGCAACCCGGCUGGUAGAAGGCCAGUCAUUCCGUAAGGAAAGCGAACGUGGGGAACUGAAACAUCUAAGUACCCAUAGGAGAAGAAAACAAAAGUGAUUCCGCAAGUAGUGGCGAGCGAACGCGGAACAGCCCAAACCGAUGUUGUUUAGGCAAUAUCGGGGUUGUAGGACCACGCCAUGGCAAGCGAUUAAGGAAGUAGAACGUUUUGGAAAAAACGGCCGUAGACGGUGAAAGCCCAGUAUACGACUCUUUAAUGAAGCCUAGUGGUAUCCUGAGUAGCGCGGAGCACGAGAAAUUCUGUGUGAACCAGCGGGGCCCAUCCCGUAAGGCUAAAUACUCCCGAGAGACCGAUAGCGAACCAGUACUGUGAAGGAAAGGUGAAAAGCACCUCGAACAGAGGAGUGAAAUAGUCCCUGAAACCGUCUGCCUACAAGCGGUCGGAGCAAUCUUUUG